UACGAAGGGGGCUAGCGUUGCUCGGAAUCACUGGGCGUAAAGGGUGCGUAGGCGGAUCUUUAAGUCAGGGGUGAAAUCCUGGAGCUCAACUCCAGAACUGCCUUUGAUACUGGAGAUCUUGAGUUCGGGAGAGGUGAGUGGAACUGCGAGUGUAGAGGUGAAAUUCGUAGAUAUUCGCAAGAACACCAGUGGCGAAGGCGGCUCACUGGCCCGAUACUGACGCUGAGGCACGAAAGCGUGGGGAGCAAACAGG
rnacentral:rRNA from 1 species